rnacentral:rRNA from 1 species
GACGAACGCUGGCGGCGUGCUUAACACAUGCAAGUCGAACGGAAAGGCCCUGCUUUUGUGGGGUGCUCGAGUGGCGAACGGGUGAGUAACACGUGAGUAACCUGCCCUUGACUUUGGGAUAACUUCAGGAAACUGGGGCUAAUACCGGAUAGGAGCUCCUGCUGCAUGGUGGGGGUUGGAAAGUUUCGGCGGUUGGGGACGGACUCGCGGCUUAUCAGCUUGUUGGUGGGGUAGUGGCUUACCAAGGCUUUGACGGGUAGCCGGCCUGAGAGGGUGACCGGCCACAUUGGGACUGAGAUACGGCCCAGACUCCUACGGGAGGCAGCAGUGGGGAAUAUUGCACAAUGGGCGGAAGCCUGAUGCAGCAACGCCGCGUGCGGGAUGACGGCCUUCGGGUUGUAAACCGCUUUCGCCUGUGACGAAGCGUGAGUGACGGUAAUGGGUAAAGAAGCACCGGCUAACUACGUGCCAGCAGCCGCGGUGAUACGUAGGGUGCGAGCGUUGUCCGGAUUUAUUGGGCGUAAAGGGCUCGUAGGUGGUUGAUCGCGUCGGAAGUGUAAUCUUGGGGCUUAACCCCUGAGCGUGCUUUCGAUACGGGUUGACUUGAGGAAGGUAGGGGAGAAUGGAAUUCCUGGUGGAGCGGUGGAAUGCGCAGAUAUCAGGAGGAACACCAGUGGCGAAGGCGGUUCUCUGGGCCUUUCCUGACGCUGAGGAGCGAAAGCGUGGGGAGCGAACAGGCUUAGAUACCCUGGUAGUCCACGCUGUAAACGGUGGGUACUAGGUGUGGGGUCCAUUCCACGGGUUCCGUGCCGUAGCUAACGCUUUAAGUACCCCGCCUGGGGAGUACGGCCGCAAGGCUAAAACUCAAAGGAAUUGACGGGGCCCCGCACAAGCGGCGGAGCAUGCGGAUUAAUUCGAUGCAACGCGUAGAACCUUACCUGGGUUUGACAUGGAUCGGGAGCGCUCAGAGAUGGGUGUGCCUCUUUUGGGGUCGGUUCACAGGUGGUGCAUGGCUGUCGUCAGCUCGUGUCGUGAGAUGUUGGGUUAAGUCCCGCAACGAGCGCAACCCUUGUUCACUGUUGCCAGCACGUUAUGGUGGGGACUCAGUGGAGACCGCCGGGGUCAACUCGGAGGAAGGUGGGGAUGACGUCAAGUCAUCAUGCCCCUUAUGUCCAGGGCUUCACGCAUGCUACAAUGGCUGGUACAGAGAGUGGCGAGCCUGUGAGGGUGAGCGAAUCUCGGAAAGCCGGUCUCAGUUCGGAUUGGGGUCUGCAACUCGACCUCAUGAAGUCGGAGUCGCUAGUAAUCGCAGAUCAGCAACGCUGCGGUGAAUACGUUCCCGGGGCU